CCUACGGGAGGCAGCAGUGGGGAAUAUUGGGCAAUGGAGGAAACUCUGACCCAGCGACGCCGCGUGCGGGAUGAAGGCCUUCGGGUUGUAAACCGCUUUCAGUAGGGAAGAAGCGAAAGUGACGGUACCUACAGAAGAAGCACCGGCUAACUAUGUGCCAGCAGCCGCGGUAAUACAUAGGGUGCAAGCGUUGUCCGGAAUUAUUGGGCGUAAAGAGCUCGUAGGUGGUUCGUCACGUCGGAUGUGAAAAUCUGGGGCUCAACCCCAGACCUGCAUUCGAUACGGGCGAUCUAGAGUGUGGUAGGGGAGACUGGAAUUCCUGGUGUAGCGGUGGAAUGCGCAGAUAUCAGGAGGAACACCAAUGGCGAAGGCAGGUCUCUGGGCCAUUACUGACACUGAGGAGCGAAAGCGUGGGAGCGAACAGGAUUAGAUACCCUGGUACGUCCACGCCGUAAACGGUGGGCACGUAGUUGUGGGAACCUUCCGACGGUUUCGNGCGACGCAGCUACGCUAUUACGUCCGCCCGCGUAGGGACGUACGACUCGACAAAGUAACUUAAAACUACGAAAGGUAGUUAGGACGGCGUGAGACGUACGACCGAACGGACGACGACGAGGGAGGAGG
rnacentral:rRNA from 1 species